rnacentral:rRNA from 1 species
UACAGAGGGUGCGAGCGUUGUUCGGAAUUAUUGGGCGUAAAGCGCUUGUAGGCGGCACGCCAAGUCGCGUGUGAAAUCCCCAGGCUUAACCUGGGAAGUGCGCGCGAAACUGACGAGCUUGAGUGCCGGAGAGGGUCGCGGAAUUCCCGGUGUAGAGGUGAAAUUCGUAGAUAUCGGGAGGAACACCAGUGGCGAAGGCGGCGACCUGGACGGACACUGACGCUGAGACGCGAAAGCGUGGGGAGCAAACAGG